ACGGGAGGCAGCAGUGAGGAAUAUUGGUCAAUGGGCGGAAGCCUGAACUAGCCAAGUCGCGUGAAGGAUGAAGGUAUUAUGUAUUGUAAACUUCUUUAGACGUAGAGAAAUAAGGCGCUCGUGAGCGCUGAUGCUAGUAUACGUAGAAUAAGGAUCGGCUAACUCCGUGCCAGCAGCCGCGGUAAUACGGAGGAUCCGAGCGUUAUCCGGAUUUAUUGGGUUUAAAGGGUGCGCAGGCGGCUUUUUAAGUCAGUGGUUAAAUCGUGACGCUCAACGUCAUCACGCCAUUGAUACUGGAGAGCUUGAUUGCGGUCGAGGUUUGCGGAAUUCGUCGUGUAGCGGUGAAAUGCAUAGAUAUGACGAAGAACACCGAUUGCGUAGGCAGCAGACCAGGCCGUAAAUGACGCUCAUGCACGAAAGUGCGGGGAUCGAACAGGAUUAGAUAACCUGGUA
rnacentral:rRNA from 1 species